GUUCACUAUAGUUCGAAGCCAACUUUACGGAAACGGCGCCGACUCGUUUCUGUGAGUGCCAUCGAACGUGCAAUCAGCGGACCGUCGAGCGUGCGUAGCAACGACCGGCUCCGGGUUGCAGUAUGACGGGUUGCAGCGCACCAAACUGCGCAAAUAGCACGGAAUGUGGCAAAACUUUUUACGCGGUGCCGUGCGGACGCACGAGACCAGCCGGCUCCGAAAGGGACCAGGAUAUGCGAGGUCCGUUCUCAUUGUUUACAGAGUGGCUUUCAAUUCUGCCCCCCAAGGGUCGAAGAACCAGCACUCAUCCCCUGCUGCCAUCAGCCAUUACUCAUCCAUUCCCUUGUACGAAAUAAAUUUGAUCUAGAA